UGGGCGUAAUUCUUAUGGUCAAGUUUCUAUAUGAGAAGCAAUCUUGGCCAUUUGACUUUGAAUAUUUAUACAUUUUUUCUCUUCAAGGGUGUUCCAUGUAGAAAGCAACAAGCCUGGCUUCCAUGCACAGCAAAUUUCAACCCUUGUGUCCAAACUCCUCUCUACCUCAAACUGCAAAGAAAGAAGUUAAAAACUAAACUAGUGCAGGACUGAACUAAUCUCAAAUUUCUAAUCAAGACUUCAUUUGGCUUUACAUCUUUGAAAAUGCCUGCCAUCAUAAUGUUGAAAAUUGCACCUACUUCUAUUUCUUGUUGAAAAUUGUUGAUCUUCACUAGAAGUUCUUCAUAAUCGAAAUUGUUGCAAAUUGUUACAAUUACCACAUAUAUGUAGGUAAGUGAUGAACAAAAUUAAUAUUGUGGCAAUCAAAUUGCUGAUAUGACUUUUCUUUGGUCAUGUUCUGCGUAGUUAUGUUUCAAAAUCUAAGAUUUGAGAAAGUCUAGCAUGCAUCUAAUAGAAGUUACUUAGUUCUAGAUGUUAAAACAUGAGAGAUAAUAUACAAAGAAAAUAUUUCUAUGGUGAAGAUAGUUUGAAUAAGCCCUUUGGAAUCAAGAUAUAAGAAAAUAUUACACCAAAUCAAAAUAGUUGUUAACUGAGAGUUGAGAAACUAAACACCUCUUUGAGAAUAUUGGUUGGGAGAACAGAAGCAUAAUUUCAAUUUUCUUAGUUAUGUUGAAAAGUGGUGAAGGGAGAGUGAGAGUGGAAGGUAUAUGAGAAUUGUAAAGACAGUAGUAAGAGAGAAAAGUAAGAAAAACAGCAAUAGUAGCAUUAUCCCAUACUUCUUCCCCUUUCUUCUUCUUUCUCCAAAAUGAAGGAGAGAAUGAUUUGGGAAGGAAAAACUAGGAGGCAUGGUAACAAGUGGCUUGUUCUGGAUUCAUGGUUUUGGAAAAGGAAGCUAAGUCUAUAAUAGAACAAGAAAAGUAAAAGAACAUGUGUAACCUGUUCAUAAUAAGCAACCACUUUUGGAAGAAAAAGAAGACUAAAACAAAAAUGGAAAACAAAUGAAAGCACAUACCAAGCAGAGAAAGAGAUGAAACCAAAUUGAAAUGGAAAAUAGAAAGAAUUCUCCUCCUCCAAGGGUUUCCCCUUCACAAACAAAUUCUAAAUUGCUGAAUGCACCUUUUCUAUCCUUAUUAUUUUCUAUUUAUCUUAUUAAUCCCUACAAUAACUAAUUGCUUUAAUUGCUCCGAUGACUAAGGUGUAUAUGUCACACCAAAGUAAUAGUUGGCAUCUCAAGGUUGCCUCAUUGACGCUCCUCAUGUGAUGGGAAGCUAUCCCAGAAACCCUCCUUGCCUCAAAGGAUUUCUUGAUUUCAAUGAAAAUUGUUAAAAACACAAACAUUUUGAAGUAGUCAAGAAUUCAGUUAUGUUACCUAUUAGAUUUCCAGACUUUCGCAACAUCAAAUUCUACCAGGAUGGCUCCAAGAAGAUGCUGAGAGAGUUGUGACACUAAUAUAGGGUCAGAAAAACACACAAGGAAAUCAUAUUACAUCAUGAGAGUAUAAACAUUCUUGAAUAAUUAAGAAUAUUAUUCUAUUAGAGUGAGUUAGCUAUGUCAAAUAAGAUUGAUAAUCUAGAAAGAAAAAGAACUGAGAAAUGCGUAGCACUUACAAAUGGUUGGAGUAUUCCUCAAGUUUCAACCAUUGUUGAAAAAAGAAAGAACCAAAGCACAACAUGUAACCCAUGUACCAAAAGUAACAGAACCAAAGAAAUUGCCUCAAGAUUUUAGGAUUUUGAUUUGCUUGACACUUUGGUGAAAUCAAAUAGUAAAAAGAUAGCAAGAAAAGAAGAAAUCCCUACAAGAAUUGAAUUAGCUCUAUAUUUAAUGAUGUUUCUUCAGUUGCUUCAAAACAAUGACACGGAGAAAUUGAGAGAGAUGAAAUGCGACAAAUUCACUAUCUUCUCACUUUCUCUGUCUCUAUCUCUUACACACCAACAACAACAAUAUGUAUAGAGUGUUUUGAACAUACAACUCUAUAUAGAAUUGAUGUAACGGUCAUGCGCAACAUGGCCCUGGCCCAAUAUGGUUUAAUUUUGAUAAAACUUCAGAAUUAAUAUUUUUGUUGAUGAGAUAGUAUUUAAAAUAUUGAUAAUCAUUUUUAUAAGAUAUUUAAUAUUUUUAAUUUGAAAUAUCAAAUAUAUAUUAUUUUCUAAUUCCUCGCAUUAAAAUUUUGAAUACUCUAUUUUUCAUCAUUAGGACAAACAAUUAAAUUUUAGAAAUGAAAAAUAAUAAAACUUAGCAAGUGGUACUAGAAAAUAAAGUGGCAGAGAAAUAAAGAAACCUGAUAUAUUACCUCUUUGAAAAUUAUAACAUUUUUAUAUAGAUGGAAGCAUUCAUUCUUCUCUUUGAUUGAAUCACUUCAGCUUCUACAGUGAAAAGGAAGUUCCUAGUUCCAAAAUAUAAUCUUCUUAGCUGUAAUCUUCUUUUGCUCCUUCCAAAAUAUAAUUCUUUUCUCUUCAAAUUUCACCUAGGAGUGCAUACAUGAUGGCAGUGCAUUAAUUUUACUUUGCACCUAGCCAUUACAUUUGUGAUAUAUUU
rnacentral:lncRNA from 1 species